CUUCAUGUAAUUUGUACCCUGCAUCUCCCCAGGAUUUGUUUUCACAUCUUGGCUCCACAUUUUUGCUGGUCCUUCAGAUUUGGUGAACUAUGUUUUGGGCUUUAAACCAACUUGCAUCUUGGCAUCCUUAGGACGCCAUAUUUGGAAUUGGCUCCUUGGCUCCAGAUAUUGUAGCUCUGGGCAAAAAGCACAUUGGUUUCACUCACAGUCCUUGGAACAUAAUCUCUAACAGCCUAAUGCAAAUGCUGAGAUCCUCCACUUCCAGGUUACCAGAGGUCUCCUGCAGAGUCAUGGAUUAUUUAUUCUAUUCUGAAGCUCAGCAAGGCAGCAUUUGUUGAGGAUGUGACAGUGGUUGAACCAGCACAUGGAACCACCAGCAUCCUUGUGCAAAAGCAUGAUUGGAGUGGUUGGGAGUUGGAAAUAUGUCUCCAUGGUAGAAUGCUUGCUUAGCACACAUGAACUCCUGGGUUUGAUCGCUAGAACCCUGCACCCCUCCCAAAGAUUGGAGUUGUUGGCAUUGUUCUCUUAGAUGCCCUGUCAUUAUGCCCUUGAGUUGUCUUCCCCCCCCCCCAAUUUUUUGUUAUGGCUUCUUACUUCAAAUAGAACCAUUAACAUAGAUACCACAACUGCUUUUUUUAUUGUGGUAAAAUAUACGUGAUAUAAACUGCCAUUUUAAAUAUAAAAUUCAGUCACAUUAAUUUCACAAUAUUGUACAACUAUAACCAUUAUUCCUCAUUUUUUGUUACCCUAAAUAGAUACUCUGAACCCAUCAAACAGUAACUCCUCCCCCCGCCCCCCUCUUCCAUCCUAGUCCCUGGUAACCUCUAAUCUACUUUAUGACCCUGUGAGUUUAACUAUUCAACAACUUUUAUAUGAGUAGAAUCAUAUAAUGUAUGUUCUUUUGUGUUUGGCUUAUUUUGCUCUGCAUAAUUUUCCCAAGGUUCAUCCAUAUUGUA
rnacentral:lncRNA from 1 species